GUGCUCGGUUUGUAGGCAGUGUAAUUAGCUGAUUGUGCUGUAGUGCUUACAAUCACUAACUCCACUGCCAUCAAAACAAGGCAC
ensembl:miRNA